UGGGGAAUAUUGCACAAUGGACGGAAGUCUGAUGCAGCAACGCCGCGUGCGGGAUGACGGCCUUCGGGUUGUAAACCGCUUUUUCUCAUGACGAAGUUUUUUGACGGUAGUGGGGGAAGAAGCACCGGCUAACUACGUGCCAGCAGCCGCGGUGAUACGUAGGGUGCGAGCGUUGUCCGGAAUUAUUGGGCGUAAAGAGCUUGUAGGCGGUUUGUCGCGUAGAUAGUGCAAACUCAGUGCUUAACGCUGAGCCUGCUGUUGAUACGGGCAGACUAGAGGAAGGUAGGGGGGAAUGGAAUUCCCGGUGGAGCGGUGGAAUGCGCAGAUAUCGGGAGGAACACCGGUGGCGAAGGCGGUUCUCUGGGCCUUUACUGACGCUGAGAAGCGAAAGCGAGGGGAGCGAACAGG
rnacentral:rRNA from 1 species